CCACCACCCACCCGCCAGAGGCUGCUGACUCAUCAAACACUCCCUGGGUGGGGGUUGCCGGCCAGACAGGAAUGCACAGAGCUGUACAGAGGCACUGCCCAUGCUCUUCUGAAGGGCAGCACAAGGGGGUCCAGCUCUUUAAAACAGGACGGUCACCGUGAAGCCGGCAGAACGAUGACCCUCAGUGUCAGAGUUCUCAGCUAACCAGAAACUGCAACGAUUCUGCACGUCUUCGGCUAAUUCCCUCAGCACUGUGGGGUGGAAUUCACUCAGGUCUGAAGAACUGAGCUCUCGACAGGGGUAUCCUGUUCUCUUCCUAUCUCACCCUCACGUUCUUCACGACAAUUGAUCGACCCGUCCAGAUCUGAAGUCUUUCACUUCCAUAGAGAAGACAGAAACUGGGAGAUAGACACGAACGAGAAGAAUGGUGAAGAGGGACACUAAAACAGGAAUGAGAUCACUCCACCUUGUUGAGGAAAGGGGAGAGGAACGAAUCGCUGUGCACUUCUAAAAGGGACAUUGAAGAAAGAAUGGCAAGCUCAUUCUCCGUGCUCAGAGUGGAUUUAAAGCUUAUUCUCCAUGCUCAGAGUGGAAUUAAAGCUCAUUCUCCACGCUCAGAGAGGAAUUAAAGCUCAUUCUCCAUGCUCAGAGAGGAAUGACCAAGGGAAAACAGACUGCAGCCAACCUGCAGAGGAGAUGAUGGAGCGGGGUUACAGACCCUUCUUCCCAGGGGCUGAUCAAUUAGAAGAGAUGGACCUUUUCUAAGAUGGCUCUCUUGCAGCUUCACCCAUCCUCAACAGUGUCUGCACUACCCUCAGGCCUCAGUCACCCCUUUUCGCCAAACACACUUACAACCACACUCUACCUGGUGUGGUGGGAACAGACCCAGGGGACAUCUUGGCGAGAAUGACAUGGGACCUUAAGAUCAUCCACUCUGUGAUCCCUGACCUGCAGGAGAAUAAUGUUGAUCGUGGCAGUAUUUUACUCAGCCACCAGUAAAUGAUGUGACACCCACGGGACAGAGGGGAAGAAGCAGUUUUGACAGAAGGGGUGGCUGAGCUCUGACAUCAUCUCCAGUGGCCCUGCGAGAGCUUUAGAGGCUGGGAGAGCCACAAUCAUCCUUCUAAAGAACUAUAGUGGUUUGAUCUUUUCACUCUGUGUGGUGGUGUGAACAAGAAUGGCCCCCCGUAGACUCAUGUAUUUGAAUGCUUAAUCACCAGAGAGUGGCACUGUUUGGAAGGAUUAAAAAGAAUUAGGAGGUGUGGCCUUGCUGGAGGAAGUACAUCAUAAGGGGUGGGCUUUGAGGUUUCAGGUGCCCAAGCCAAGCCCAGUCUCUCUCUCUCUCCCUGUUGCCUUCAGAUCCGGGUACAGAACUCGCAGCUACCAUGUCUACCUGCACUCUGCCAUGCUUCUGCCAGGAGCAUCGUGGACUGAACCUCUGGAACUGUAAGCAAGCCCCAGUUAAAUGCUUUCUUUUAUAAGCGCUGCCGUGGUCAUGGUGUCUCUUCAAAGCAAUAGAACACUGACUAAGAGAUUCUGUUAGGGUCCAUUCCAUAUGGGGACAGCAAGAGCUUCUUUAUUGUUUUCUGUAUGGACUAUUCCACCUAGAGUGUAGUAGGGAGCGUUUCACUGAAUGCAGCUAGCGUGCCAGUCAGCUUCCUUUCUCGAACCACUACCUGAGAUGAUCUAAAGGCAAAGGACACUUUGACUCAUUUUUCUGGAGCUUUCCAUCCAAGGCUGAUUGGUACUGCUGGCUAGGCAGCACAUGGCAAAACUACUAUUUACCUCACAGCUGGGAUGUAAAGGAGAGACAGACAGGUUUGGAGUCCUGUCGUCCCCUGCAAUGGUAUGCCUUAUCAUGACCUAAGUCAUCCCACUAGGUUCCAUCCUUGAAAGCUCCACCAUUUCCUAGUAGCUCCUCAGGCUAAGGCCAAACCUUUUACAUGCGAGCCUUGUAGGGGAAUAUUCCAGAUCAAAACCAUAGCAGGUAGGCAUCAUGAUUCAUUUAGAUAAUCCCCCAUGGGUGGACACUUAGAUUACUUUUAUAUUUCAAAGUAUGCUUCAAGUACACAUGAACACACAAGGUACACAUCUGUAUGGCAGUACAUCUAAAAGCAUUCAAGAAAUUAGAAUUGUAGGUAGCAGGCUUUCCAUCCAUGAUCUAGUACUAAUUUCUAGGACUUACCACACCUUUUACCCACCAUCUAUGCACCCCUGCUUCUCUACUAAGUCCUGAAACUUCACUCCAUCUUCCUGAAGAAUUCACUGUACUCACUAAACAGAAGCACAGGAAAACACCUAAAGAUGGUCCAGGGGAGUUAUAUAUACAACAGUAGGAUAACCCAUGUCAACAUUCAUCACUGUUGUGCCACACAGACAUCAGGCCAAUAAAAAUGCCCAAACACUUGCUGAGAUAAGACACAGAGAGCUAUGGUCUGAUCUUCACUCUCCAGUAGCUGACAACCAACACUAUUCACUACUCAGGAGCCAGAAGAGCUGAGUCUGUAAGCUGGUUUUUCUUCCUGACAGGGUUCUAGUUAUCUGAAGUGAAGCUGCCAGCAGCCUGUGAAGCAGACAUUGUGUAGAUCCUCCCUCUUACUCUGGGAUCAGCAUGUAGCUGUGUGACUGUGUGGUUACAUCACUACACGGUAUGAACAGAAGACAUUGACUGAAUGAUGGGUUUCUCUUAUUGUCAUAUACUUCUUCAAUCCCAAGUGGGUUUUAUUUGCUUCAGUAACAAUCUCACAUGUGUACUGCUCUGUGUCCAGUGUUCAAGUGACUUUCAAACUGCUUAACUUUGACAAUGUAAUCCAUCUCCAUUUCCAUAUAUCCAAAACCAAACCUCACCAAGAGCACUUGGCUUUACUGUGCAUGGUAUUUUCUGGCAUUUUCUAAUGUAGUCUAUUUUGUUUUGUAAAAGUGCUGCUCUCAACUCCCUUGAUUCCACGAUCCUUUAAUGAGCCAUGAAUUGUUUCAAAAAUAUUGCUUUUUAUGCCACCCAUGGGCUUGACAUAUAAUCCAGGUGUUUACCUGUGUAACAAAAAGCCUCCGCUAUCUGCCUGCUGAAUUUGUUCUUUCUUUAAAAGUUAAGAGUUCCUCCACCCCAAGUGUACCAAGUAUACCGGAAGCAACAUCUACCCGAGGCUUUCUCCCUCAGAGCUGCAGGACUGCGCUGUCUUUGCUCCUGGGAGUAUCAGGAGUGCACCUGGCGAGGCCAUUCUGCUUGAUUGUCUGUCACAGCUGGGGAGAUGCUUUCCCUGCAGUGUCAAAGGAAAGGAAUGAAUGCAAAUUGGAGCCAGCCCCAGCCAGAAAUCCAUCUCCCACAGCUGACUGGGCUCCUGACAGGAGGAGGCUUGUGGUGCUGUCACUCAGAGGAGCGAUCUGCUGCAGGGAGGAAAGGGAGAAGAUGUUUUGUCUGUAUGUAUUGUACACAGCCCAGUACCCUUGGAGGUCAGAAAGUGGCAUCAGAUCCCCUGGAACAGGACGUACAGAUGAUCGUGCUGGGAACCAAACCUGGGUCCUUUGCAAGAGCAACAAAUGCUGAACCAUCUCUCAAGCCCCAGGAGCUGAAUUCUGAUGCUAAUGACUUGGGAACUUAUUGUUCUAUAUUAGGAAAGUCAUAGCAAUGGCCUUUGUAUGUAAUGACCUCUGUAUAAUGACCUCACUACACCAUGAGGUCUUUUAGGACAGUGACUGCGCCCAUCAUGCUCAUUAUGGUAGCGGCUCCUCAACACAGCACCUGUCACACCAUAGAUGUUCAAUAAACAUUCCAUGCCAAGU